AGAAUGAAAUAAAAGAAAGGGAAUAGUGGGCUGGAUCACCUUUACCAAUGAAAGAAAAUCCAAACAAGGCUACCUGUAAAACCCAGGCAACUUUGGCCGUAUCCAUGGAACUAUUUGUUGGAAAUAAGCCUUCGUUGCCGCCUUCUUCACGAUCUGCAUCUCCCCUCUUCCAUGGACUUUCUGCUGUCUUUGUCUCCUUUCCUUCUUCUUUUUCUAUAUAUAUCACUCUUUAAAAUCCAUGUUUCUACUGUUCUUUCCUUCCAAGGAUCGAUGCAGAGAAAGCGAGAGAAUUCACACUUCCCUCACAUAAGGAAUAUAAUUCUCUCAGUUUUUAUCAUAUCAUCUCUGAUAUAUAUUCAACUGUAGGUUCUUACUCAACUAGUUCUCGAUUACUGUAGGAGGGCACAAAUAGCUAUAGUAAUCUUGAACCUAUGAGUACGCCAAGAAAUGGGCAAGAAAAUGCGCACGUACAGUGCUAAAUUUUAUCUGCUUUGAAGGUUAAGAAAGUUGACAGGUAACUAAGGCGAAUUGGCUGAUCUUUUAUCUGAAAUUGUUCCUGCCUGGCUCCCUGAAUGCCAUCUAAGAAGCUUGUCAAAGAAUGUUGGCAACCUUCCUACUUGGCAUGAGGGGAGUCACGCAGGCCCCAACAUCAUAUAAUCUAUAUGUAUGCUUCUAUAUCUGCCUAUGCCUCAACUCAACAUACUGAAUCCUUCCUGUUUGCUACAGAACAAAGGUGAAAUGGGAUUUCUGUAAGUUGUUGAUUCAUUAUUUACAUGUAUAUGCUUCAAGUCAUUCCAUUCAGUAAAUUUGCUAUUCUGUGAGAAAUAUCAACAUCCUUAAUGACUACAGUUGGGGCCACAUUUAAUGGUUCAGGAUAAUAUAGAUCAACAUUUACAUUAAUCCUUUGUGUUUUAUUAUAUCCUCUUCUGCACAUGUAUGCAUUUAUUUGUCUUUUGGUACUUUGGAAGAGCUCUCAGGAUUUGAAAAUCUCUACAAUGACGUCUGAAAUGAUACUCGAGAAACCUAUACCGUAAAAUUGAUUUACUUAUAACGAUUUUAGUAUAAAUAUUAAUUAUGAUAUGAAUUCCAUGCGAGUCCCACAAUGAUUAACUUUUAUGGUGAAACCACAUGUCAGUUUCAUCAAAUAAAAAUUCCUAAUGCUCUAAUAGCUAUUUUGAAUGUUGCAGGGGGAAUAGCAUGUCUAUUGAAUCUUCCCUACAAUGACUUGCAGGCAAAAUGUAUGCAAGUACUUGAGUGACUAACUAAUUGAUGACCAUAAUGGAUUAAAUAAUUGAGAGGUGAAUUUAUAGUCAUAUAAAGCGUACGAAUCUUCAAAACGAUAUUUUCUUUGUAUUUGUCAUUUAAUAGUUUUUGGUGCAGUGUUUCUGAAUUUCAGAGAGAUCUGUGGCUUGGAAUAAACCAUAUAAUGCAGGGCUUUGAGGUACUGAUUUCAACCCAAAAUUAGUUCAUGGGCGAGAGAAUUGUUCAAAUAUUUACUUUCACGCUCCAACAUGAAUAUCUAAAGGGUGAAGUUAGUAGGACUGAAUAUUGAUUGACCGUCUAAUAUCGAGACAAGAGUUGAUUAUGAUAUCAUGUGAAAAUCGCUUAAUUCAAUCUCAAAGACUUACUUAAGAAAGAGGAAUUGCCCAAAUCUUUUAUGUUUAAUACUUUUACAUUAUACCCCAUCAAUUUGGAACACCAUAUUAUGUUUCUCAGCCCUUGAACCUAAUAUAUGGGCUUUUGAAAAUGAAAUUGAGAAGAAUCGAUGCAUUUUGAAACUUGUCAUCUUC